rnacentral:rRNA from 1 species
AACGAACGCUGGCGGCGCGCUUAACACAUGCAAGUCGAACGAGAAGGCGUAGCAAUACGCUUGUACAGUGGCGAACGGGUGAGUAAUACGUGGGCGACCUACCCUCGAGUGGGGAAUAACCCGCCGAAAGGCGGGCUAAUGCCGCGUACGCUUCCAUCUUUAUGGAGGUGGAAGGAAAGCCGUGCCGUGGGCACGGCGCUCAAGGAUGGGCUCACGUCCUAUCAGCUUGUUGGAGGGUAACGGCCUACCAAGGCUCCGACGGGUAGCUGGUCUGAGAGGACGAUCAGCCACACUGGCACUGCGACACGGGCCAGACUCCUACGGGAGGCAGCAGUGAGGAAUAUUGCGCAAUGGGCGAAAGCCUGACGCAGCGACGCCGCGUGGGGGAUGAAGGUCUUCGGAUUGUAAACCCCUUU